rnacentral:rRNA from 1 species
GAUCCUGGCUCAGGAUGAACGCUAGCGACAGGCCUAACACAUGCAAGUCGAGGGGCAGCGAAGAGGUAGCAAUACCUUUGCCGGCGACCGGCGCACGGGUGAGUAACACGUAUGCAAUCCACCUGUAACAGGGGGAUAACCCGGAGAAAUCCGGACUAAUACCCCAUAAUAUGGGCGCUCCGCAUGGAGAGCCCAUUAAAGAGAGCAAUUUUGGUUACAGACGAGCAUGCGCUCCCAUUAG